UUUUGACCUCGGAUCAGGUAGGGAUACCCGCUGAACUUAAGCAU
rnacentral:rRNA from 14 species